CUAAAGAGUCUUGUUUCUUUAUUGCAGACUCACAGGCCCCGGGCAUGGCCCCCGGGCAGUGGCCCUGGGCUCUGGGGGAGGGUCCUGCACGCCUGCCGUCCCUGUCCUGGGCCCUGCAGACUGGGCAAACAGACAGCCCCUUCCCUUCAGGCGCUGCCUUUGUCCAGAGCCCCAGCCAGGACGCCGUCGGGGACACGGGCACAGCAGGGCGUGACGAGGAAGGGGCUCCGCGCGGCUCCCCAGGGCCCACCUCGACCUGAGCCUCAGCCCCGAGCGACUGGGCCUCAGCCUUGGUCCCUGGGGUCUACCCAGGCAGCCGUGGUCCAGGCCUGCAGUGGGGCAGGCAGCCGGCUGGGACUCUUGCCGCCUCCCUCUGCUCGGGGCACAGGGCAUGGCUGCCCUGCUCUGAGCCCGACUAGGAGACUCCUGGGUGAGCUGGGGACUCACGCCUGGCAGGGCCACAGGAGCCUGUGUCCCCAGCAGGGCCGCCACUGGUGUCCCCUCCGCGUGCCCUGCGCUCCCAGGACUGAGCCAGGAAGUGAGCCUGGAGCCCUGGCAGUGAGGGGCCACCCCACGGCCAAGGCUCUGGGCUGCAGGAGUCCCCCUUUCCCACCCCCAUGGAGUUGGGGCUUGGUCACCUGGUUGACACAGCCUCCGUGAGCUGGUGAGGGCUGCCUUUGACGGUGCCCAGGGUCCAGCCCCUGGUGGCCGCCCUCAGACUCUGCCCUUAAGCAGCCCAAGUCCCAUACACAUGGUGCUUGUCCUGGCCCAGCCAGCCCCAGGGAGCGACGGCAAGGGGUUUGGAGCCAGCCAGUGUCUCUCCCUACGGCUGUGACUCCUCUGGGCCCAGAGGCUUGUGAAGUGACCCUGACAGACUUCCCCUCAAUUCAGAGGCUGUGGGGGCAAGUGACAGAUCAAACCUCCCACUGGGACAACACAGGCCCCUGGCCAGACGCAGCAGCGCCCUCCCCAGGGUGGCGGGUUUAGCAGCCAGUCCGGCUCCCCCCACAUCCUCCUCUUCCCAUAGUCCCCAGAUGGAAGAGGGAUGGAGUGUCCUAGACCCUCAGCCUCAUCCCGGUGCCCUGUGAGGUGGGCACUGCUGCCUGGCUCUGCCCAUGAAGAAUGAACCAGGCUAAGUGAACUGUACAGCCUCACACAGCGUGCAAACCCAGGGCAACCUGUGUCGGAGCCUGGCCCCACCACUGCUGGACACCCAGAGGUGUCCCCUUGGCUGACAGGUGGCCAGCUUGGUCCCAUCCAAGCCAGGCGGAGACCCCCACCCUGGCCUCCUGGGCUCCUCCACACACAUCAAGCCCAGCCCCCAGCAGCAGUGUGCCCGCCUCAGGGCCCCCCACCUGCAGAUGUGGCCUCGCCUUCCUGGAGCCUCAUGCUCCUGCUGCAGGGCCUCCGCACCAGUUGUUCCCUCC
rnacentral:lncRNA from 1 species